AUUGAACGCUGGCGGCAUGCCUUACACAUGCAAGUCGAACGGUAACAGGUCUUCGGAUGCUGACGAGUGGCGAACGGGUGAGUAAUACAUAGGAACGUGCCCGAGAGUGGGGGAUAACGAAGCGAAAGCUUUGCUAAUACCGCAUACGAUCACAGGAUGAAAGCAGGGGACAGCAAGGCCUUGCGCUUACGGGGCGGCCGAUGGCAGAUUAGGUAGUUGGUGGGAUAAAAGCUUACCAAGCCGACGAUCUGUAGCUGGUCUGGAGAGGACGACCAGCCACACUGGGACUGAGACACGGCCCAGACUCCUACGGGAGGCAGCAGUGGGGAAUUUUGGACAAUGGGCGCAAGCCUGAUCCAGCCAUGCCGCGUGCAGGAUGAAGGCCUUCGGGUUGUAAACUGCUUUUGUACGGAACGAAAAGACUCUGGUUAAUACCUGGGGUCCAUGACGGUACCGUAAGAAUAAGCACCGGCUAACUACGUGCCAGCCGCCGCGGUAACAC
rnacentral:rRNA from 1 species